rnacentral:rRNA from 1 species
GAUGAACGCUGGCGGUAUGCUUAACACAUGCAAGUCGAGGGGCAGCGCAGUGUAGCAAUACAUGGGCGGCGACCGGCAAACGGGUGCGGAACACGUACGCAACCUUCCUUUAACUGGGAGAUAGCCCACCGAAAGGUGGAUUAAUAUCCCAUAGUAUAUUUGAAUGGCAUCAUUUAGAUAUUAAAGCUCCGGCGGUUAAAGAUGGGCGUGCGUCUGAUUAGGUAGUUGGCGGGGUAACGGCCCACCAAGCCCACGAUCAGUAGCUGAUGUGAGAGCAUGAUCAGCCACACGGGCACUGAGACACGGGCCCGACUCCUACGGGAGGCAGCAGUAAGGAAUAUUGGUCAAUGGACGCAAGUCUGAACCAGCCAUGCCGCGUGGAGGAUGAAGGUCCUCUGGAUUGUAAACUUCUUUUCUUUGGGACGAAACCCCUGUUUCUACGGGGACUGACGGUACCAGAGGAAUAAGCACCGGCUAACUCCGUGCCAGCAGCCGCCGUAA